UACGAAGGGGGCUAGCGUUGCUCGGAAUCACUGGGCGUAAAGCGCACGUAGGCGGAUCCUUAAGUCGGGGGUGAAAUCCUGGAGCUCAACUCAAGAAAUGCACUCGGUACUGGGUGACUAGAGGACCGGAGAGGAUAGUGGAAUUCCCAGUGUAGUGGUGAAAUACGUAGAGAUUGGGAAGAACACCAGUGGCGAAGGCGGCUAUCUGGACGGUUUCUGACGCUAAGACGCGAAAGCGUGGGGAGCAAACAGG
rnacentral:rRNA from 1 species